CACUGGGGGCAGCCCAGGGGCGGUAAAGUCCGCACAACCUGGAACGGAUGUACUUGCAGAGAGCAAUGGUGGUCCGCGGACGGUUUCUGCUACGACUCUUGCUGUGACAUCUAUCACACAGGCAAUGCUGUAUGCCAGACGCAGGACCCCU
rnacentral:ribozyme from 1 species